rnacentral:rRNA from 1 species
GAUGAACGCUGGCGGCGUGCCUAACACAUGCAAGUCGAACGGAACUAUUUUGGAAACUCCUUCGGGAGCGGAAUCUUUAGUUUAGUGGCGGACGGGUGAGUAACGCGUGAGCAAUCUGCCUUUAAGAGGGGGAUAACAGUCGGAAACGGCUGCUAAUACCGCAUAAAGCAUUGAAUUCGCAUGUUUUCGAUGCCAAAGGAGCAAUCCGCUUUUAGAUGAGCUCGCGUCUGAUUAGCUGGUUGGCGGGGUAACGGCCCACCAAGGCGACGAUCAGUAGCCGGACUGAGAGGUUGAACGGCCACAUUGGGACUGAGACACGGCCCAGACUCCUACGGGAGGCAGCAGUGGGGAAUAUUGCGCAAUGGGGGAAACCCUGACGCAGCAACGCCGCGUGAUUGAAGAAGGCCUUCGGGUUGUAAAGAUCUUUAAUUCGGGACGAAAUUUGACGGUACCGAAAGAAUAAGCUCCGGCUAACUACGUGCCAGCAGCCGCGGUAA